rnacentral:snRNA from 1 species
AGCUUUGCGCAGUGGCAGUAUCAUAGCCAAUGAGGUGAACCCGAGGCGUGAUUAUUGCUGAUUGAAAACUUUUCCCAAUACCCCACCAUGACGACUUGAAAUACAGUCGGCAUUGGCAAUUUGUGCCAUACUCUGUACUUGUGGCUGGAACAGCAGU